rnacentral:misc_RNA from 1 species
UUUCCGUAGGUGAACCUGCGGAAGGAUGAUUAAUGAGUUGUCAUGGGGUUCGAUGCUGGCAGCCAGUUUUUGGAUGCAUGUGCUUGCCCUAACAAUCAUCUUCUUCCAAACACCUGUGCACAUUUUUGAGGGAGUCUUGAGUUGGUUGCCGCUCUUGGGUGAUUUUCUCACAUUCCCUUAAAUCAUUAUACGCUAUUAACAAUGUUGAACGUGCUCUGUGCCGCAAGGCCAUUAAUAUAAUACAACUUUUAACAACGGAUCUCUUGGCUCUC